rnacentral:rRNA from 1 species
GUCUACUGCCAUGCCACCCUGAACGUGCCUGAUCGCAUCUGAUCUCAGAAGCUAAGCAGGGUCAGGCCUGGUUAGUACUUGGAUGGGAGACUACUUAGGAAUACCAAGUGCUGUGCGGG